GACGAGCGCUGGCGGCGUGCUUAACACAUGCAAGUCGAGCGGUAAGGCCCUUCCGGGGGUACACGAGCGGCGAACGGGUGAGUAACACGUGGGUGACCUGCCCUCAGCUCUGGGAUAAGCCUGGGAAACUGGGUCUAAUACUGGAUAUGACUCCACGGUGCAUGUCGUGGGGUGGAAAGCCUUGUGCGGCUGAGGAUGGGCCCGCGGCCUAUCAGCUUGUUGGUGGGGUGAUGGCCUACCAAGGCGACGACGGGUAGCCGGCCUGAGAGGGCGACCGGCCACACUGGGACUGAGACACGGCCCAGACUCCUACGGGAGGCAGCAGUGGGGAAUCUUGCGCAAUGGGCGAAAGCCUGACGCAGCGACGCCGCGUGAGGGAUGACGGCCU
rnacentral:rRNA from 1 species